rnacentral:rRNA from 1 species
GACGAACGCUGGCGGCGUGCUUAACACAUGCAAGUCGAACGGAAAGGCCCUGCUUUUGUGGGGUGCUCGAGUGGCGAACGGGUGAGUAACACGUGAGUAACCUGCCCUUGACUUUGGGAUGACUUCAGGAAACUGGGGCUAAUACCGGAUAGGAUCUCCUGCUGCAUGGUGGGCGUUGGAAAGUUUCUGCGGUUGGGGAUGGACUCGCGGCUUAUCAGCUUGUUGGUGGGGUAGUGGCUUACCAAGGCUUUGACGGGUAGCCGGCCUGAGAGGGUGACCGGCCACAUUGGGCCUGAGAUACGGCCCAGACUCCUACGGUAGGCAGCAGUGGGGAAUAUUGUACAGUGGGCGGAAGCCUGAUGCAGCAACGCCGCGUGCGGGAUGACGGCAUUCGGGUUGUAAACCGCUGUCGCUUGUGACGAAGCGUGAGUGACGGUACUGGGUAAAGAAGCACCGGCUAACUACGUG